GAUGAACGCUGGCGGCGUGCCUAAUACAUGCAAGUCGAGCGAACAGACGCGGAGCUUGCUCCUCUGACGUUAGCGGCGGACGGGUGAGUAACACGUGGAUAACCUACCUAUAAGACUGGGAUAACUUCGGGAAACCGGAGCUAAUACCGGAUAAUAUAUUGAACCGCAUGGUUCAAUAGUGAAAGACGGUGUUGCUGUCACUUAUAGAUGGAUCCGCGCCGCAUUAGCUAGUUGGUAAGGUAACGGCUUACCAAGGCAACGAUGCGUAGCCGACCUGAGAGGGUGAUCGGCCACCCGGGAACUGGGACACGGUCCAGACUCCUACGGGAGGCAGCAGUCGGGAAUCUUCCGCAAUGGGCGAAAGCCUGACGGAGCAACGCCGCGUGAGUGAUGAAGGUCUUCGGAUCGUAAAACUCUGUUAUUAGGGAAGAACAAAUGUGUAAGUAACUAUGCACGUCUUGACGGUACCUAGUCAGAAAGCCACGGCUAACUACGUG
rnacentral:rRNA from 1 species